GGGUGAGUAACGCGUAUGCAACCUACCUUUAACAGAGGGAUAGCCCAUAGAAAUGUGGAGGAAUACCUCAUAGUUCUUUCGCAUGUAAAGCUCCGGUUAAAGAUGGGCAUGCGUGACAUUAGCUAGUUGGUGAGGUAACGGCUCACCAAGGCAACGAUGUCUAGGGGUUCUGAGAGGAUGAUCCCCCACAGUGGUACUGAGACACGGACCAGACUCCUACGGGAGGCAGCAGUGAGGAAUAUUGGUCAAUGGGCGCAAGCCUGAACCAGCCAUCCCGCGUGCAGGAUGAAGGCCUAUGGGUCGUAAACUGCUUUUAUACACCAAGAACGACGGUAGUGUAUGAAUAAGCAUCGGCUAACUCCGUGCCAGCAGCCGCGGUAAUACGGAGGAUGCAAGCGUUAUCCGGAUUCAUUGGGUUUAAAGGGUGCGUAAGCGGCUCUUUAAGUCAGUGGUGAAAUCUUGGCGCUUAACGGUAAAAUUGGCAUUGAUAC
rnacentral:rRNA from 1 species